ensembl:lncRNA
GACCUGCAGGCCAGGCCCGGGUGAGGAAGGCCCGUUUUGCAGACAGAGCUGUGGGAUGGGAUGGAUGCGGGAGGCGGAGGAGGCCCGUGCUCCAGGCAGGUCAGGGGCAGGCCCUUCCCAUGUCCCGGCUCACUCCCACCCUGCAGAAGCUGAGACACCGGCCAGGCCAGCGUGUGCCCAGCCUCUCACCCACAGAGGCCUGGGGCAGCAGACCUGAGGAUUUGUUCUUGUUUGCUAUAACAAACACCGCGGGAGCCGACCAACAAACCUGUCUCUUCAGAAGAGCCUGGAGUGGCUAGGAGAAAUGGACACCUGGGCAGCUGGACAUUGGGGAAUUUUCUCUUUAAACAAAUCACCUCAAUUUUGCAGUUAUUUGUAUGUGAUACCAACGAACACACAGGAGUGAACACACUUACCUGGAUUACAAGUCUAUGCAG